rnacentral:rRNA from 1 species
GACGAGUCUCACAAACGUUAUUCGGAAUUACUGGGCUUAAAGGGUGCGUAGGCGGUGGAGUAAGUCGGAUGUGAAAUACCUUAGCUUAACUAGGGAACUGCACUCGAUACUACCUUGCUAGAGUAAGACAGAGGUGAGUGGAACUGAGGGUGGAGCGGUGAAAUGCGUUGAUAUCCUCAGGAACACCGAUGGCGAAGGCGACUCACUGGGUCUUUACUGACGCUGAUGCACGAAAGCUAGGGUAGCAAACGGG